rnacentral:rRNA from 1 species
UACGAAGGGGGCUAGCGUUGCUCGGAAUUACUGGGCGUAAAGGCGCGUAGGCGGCACUGUUAGUCAGGCGUGAAAUUCCUGGGCUCAACCCUGGGGACUGCGCUUGAUACGGCCAGAGCUUGAGGAUGGAAGAGGGUCGCGGAAUUCCCAGUGUAGAGGUGAAAUUCGUAGAUAUUGGGAAGAACACCGUGGCGAAGGCGGCGACCUGGUCCAUUACUGACGCUGAAGGCGCGACAGCGUGGGAGCAA